GGUGAAAGCCAAUCGAACCAGGAGAUAGCUCGUUCUCUCCGAAAUGCAUUUAGGUGCAGCCUUGAUUGUUUAAAUAUGGGGGUAGAGCACUGCAAUGGUCUAGCGGGCAUAUUGCUUAGCGAAAUCAAUCAAACUCCGAAUACCAUAUUUCAAGAGAUCAGGAGUGAGACUAUGGGUACUAAGAUCCAUGGUCAAAAGGGAAACAGCCCAGACCACCAACUAAGGUCCCAAAUUAUAUCUAAGUGGGAAAGGAGGUGGAGAUUCUGAAACAACCAGGAUGUUGGCUUAGAAGCAGCCAUACAUUUAAAGAGUGCGUAAUAGCUCACUGGUCGAGAGUCUCUGCGCCGACNAUGUAACGGGGCUAAGAUAUAAACCGAAGUUGUGGAGUAUACACUAUGUGUAGACUGGUAGGAGAGCGUUCCGUAGGCCGUUGAAGGAUAAGGGGUAACCCAAUCUGGAGGUAUCGGAAGUGAGAAUGCAGGAAUGAGUAGCGAGAAAGAGGGUGAGAAUCCCUCUCGCCGGAAAACCAAGGUUUCCAGAGUAAAGCUUGUCUUCUCUGGGUAAGCCGGGACCUAAGCCGAGGCUAGAUUGCGUAGGCGAAUGGAAAGCAGUUUAAUAUUACUGCGCCACUAUAAUUUGUUUGAGAGAUGGAGGGACGCAGAAGGGUAUGUGCGCAGACUGUUGGAUAUGUCUGUGUAAGCAUGUAGGAUGGAACCGCAGGAAAAUCCACGGUUUUAGAUCUGAGGUGUGAUGCGGAGUGUUUGUAAUGAACACGAAGGUACAAAUCCCACGCUGCCGAGAAAAGCUUCUAUUGAGAAUUAUAGUGCCCGUACCGUAAACCGACACAGGUGGUUAGGAUGAGAAAUCUAAGGCGUACAGGCUAACUCUCGCUAAGGAACUCUGCAAAAUGGCCCCGUAACUUCGGGAGAAGGGGUGCCAUUAAAGGUGAUAGAAACACGCGUUCUUGAGCUUUUGAUGGCCGCAGUGAAGAGAUUCNAGCNACUGUUUAGCAAAAACACAGGUCUAUGCUAAGCUGAAAGGCGAUGUAUAUGGGCUGACACCUGCCCAGUGCCGGAAGGUUAAGAGGAGGGUUUAGCGACUCAAAUUGAAGCCCCGGUGAACGGCGGCCGUAACUAUAACGGUCCUAAGGUAGCGAAAUUACCUUGUCGGGUAAGUUCCGACCUGCACGAAUGGUGUAAUGACUCGAAUGCUGUUCUUGGCGGGAGGCCUGGUGAAAUUGUACUACCCGGGAAGAACCGUCU
rnacentral:rRNA from 1 species